GACGAACGCUGGCGGCGUGCCUAACACAUGCCAGUCGAACGGAAAGGCCCUGCUUUUGUGGGGUGCACGAGUGGCGAACGGGUGAGUAUCACGUGUGUAACCCGUCCCUGACUUUGGGGUAACUUCAGGACACAGGGGCUCUUAUCGGAUAGGAUCUAUUGCUGCAUGGUGGGGGUUGGUAAGAUUCGGCGGUUGGGGAUGGACUCGCGGCUUAUCCGCUUGUUGGUGGGGUAGUGGCUUACCAAGGUUAUGACGGAUAGCCGGCCUGGGAGGUGGACCGGGCUCAAGGCGACUGAGAUACGGCCCAGACGGGAACGUGACGCAACGGGGGAGAGCAUUACAUAGUAGGGGGGAGCCAGAUGUAACAACGCCGCGUUCGGGAAGACGGGCUUCGGGUGGUGAACCACUGUCGCCUGAGACGAGGCGUUAGUGACGGUAACGGGUAAAGAAGCACCGGCUAACUACGUG
rnacentral:rRNA from 1 species